rnacentral:rRNA from 1 species
UAGUCCACGCCGUAAACGAUGGUCACUAGCUGUUCAGACUUCGGUCUGAGUGGCUAAGCGAAAGUGAUAAGUGACCCACCUGGGGAGUACGUUCGCAAGAAUGAAACUCAAAGGAAUUGACGGGGGCCCGCACAAGCGGUGGAGCAUGUGGUUUAAUUCGAUGAUACGCGAGGAACCUUACCAGGGCUUAAAUGUAAGUUGCAUUAGUUAGAGAUAGCUAUUUCUUCGGACUACUUACAAGGUGCUGCAUGGUUGUCGUCAGCUCGUGCCGUGAGGUGUCAGGUUAAGUCCUAUAACGAGCGCAACCCUUGUCCUUAGUUGCCAGCGCGUAAUGGUGGGAACUCUAAGGAGACUGCCGGUGACAAACCGGGAGGAAGGUGGGGAUGACGUCAAGUCAUCAUGGGCCCCUUAUGGGGCUGGGGCUACACACGUGCUACAAUGGGUCGGUACAGACGGGCUGCAA